rnacentral:rRNA from 1 species
GACGAACGCUGGCGGCGUGCUUAACACAUGCAAGUCGAACGGAAAGGCCCUGCUUUUGUGGGGUUCUCGAGUGGCGAACGGGUGAGUAACACGUGAGGAACCUCCCCCUGACUUUGUGAUAACUUUAGGAAACUCCGGCUCAUACCGGAUAGGAUCUCUUGCUGCACGGUGGUGGUUGGUAAGUUUCGGCGGUUGGGGAUGGACUCGCGGGUUAUCAGCUUGUUGGUGGGGUAGUGGCUUACCAAGGCUUUGACGGGUAGCCGGCCUGAGAGGGUGACCGGCGACAUUGGGACUGAGAUAGGGCCCAGAAUGCUACGGGAGGCAGAAGUGGGGAAUAUUACACAAUGGGCGGAAGCCUGAUGCAGCAACGCCGCGUGCGGGAAGACGGCCUUCGGGUUGUAAACAGCUUUGGACUGUGACGAGGCGGGAGUGACGGUAAUUGGUAAAGAAGCACCGGCUAACUACGUG